rnacentral:rRNA from 1 species
CCAGUCACACUGGAACUGAGACACGGUCCAGACACCUACGGGUGGCAGCAGUCGAGAAUUUUUCUCAAUGGGGGCAACCCUGAAGGAGCGACGCCGCGUGGAGGAUGAAGGCUUUCGGGUCGUAAACUCCUGUCAUUUGAGAACAAGUGCUAGCAAGUAACUACUGCUAGUUUGAUAGUAUCAGAAGAGGAAGGGACGGCUAACUCUGUGCCAGCAGCCGCGGUAAUACAGAGGUCCCAAGCGUUGUUCGGAUUCAUUGGGCGUGAAGGGUGCGUAGGUGGCGCCGUAAGUGGGGUGUGAAAUCCCGAGGCUUAACCUCGGGACUGCAUUCCAUACUGCGGUGCUUGAGGACUGGAGAGGAGACUGGAAUUUACGGUGUAGCAGUGAAAUGCGUAGAGAUCGUAAGGAAGACCAGUGGCGAAGGCGGGUCUCUGGACAGUUCCUGACACUGAGGCACGAAGGCCAGGGGAGCGAACGGGAUUAGAUACCCCGGUAGUCCUGGCAGUAAACGGUGCACGUUUGGUGUGGGAGGAUUCGACCCCUUCCGCGCCGGAGCUAACGCGUUAAACGUGCCGCCUGGGGAGUACGGUCGCAAGAUUAAAACUCAAAGGAAUUGACGG